rnacentral:rRNA from 1 species
GAUGAACGCUGGCGGCGUGCCUAAUACAUGCAAGUCGAGCGAACAGACGAGGAGCUUGCUCCUCUGACGUUAGCGGCGGACGGGUGAGUAACACGUGGAUAACCUACCUAUCAGACUGGGAUAACUUCGGGACACCGGAGCUAAUACCGGAUAAUAUAUUGAACCGCAUGGUUCAAUAGUGAAAGACGGUUUUGCUGUCACUUAUAGAUGGAUCCGCGCCGCAUUAGCUAGUUGGUAAGGUAACGGCUUACCAAGGCAACGAUGCGUAGCCGACCUGUGAGGGGGAUCGGCCACACUGGAACGUGGACACGGUCCAGGCGCCUACGGGAGGCAGCAGUAGGGAAUCGGCCGCAAUGGGCGAAAGCAUGACGGAGCAACGCCGCGUGAGUGAUGAAGGUCUUCGGAUCGUAAAACCCUGUUAUGAGGGAAGAACAAAUGUGUAAGUAACUAUGCAGGUCGUGACGGUACCUAAUCAGAAAGCCACGGCUAACUACGUG